AUGCAUAAGUUGGAUGGGUGGAUGAGAAGCUUACUUUGCUACCCCCUCAGCCACUCCAUGGCCCACAAGUCAGUUCUCGUGGGUGAUUUGAAAUUUGUUGUUUUCAAGCACUUCCGAGCAAAUAAAGGUUUACAGGUUGAGUUUGCUGGGGGUGCUCUACAGUGUGGCGAGUAUAUCACGGUGCGCAAGAUUGGGGAUUCUAACCAAAAGGGGAGCACGGCUUCUCAGCAGUUUGUGGUUGGGAGGACUAGAACAAGAUCCGCGAGCUACUUUAUUCACAAUUCUUCUUGCUUUAGAGGUGAUCCUCAUGGAGCUGCACCAUUGCUGCCACUGACCAGUGAAUAG
rnacentral:rRNA from 1 species